rnacentral:RNase_P_RNA from 1 species
GGGAGAGAGAGCCCGGCUGCCGCGAUGAUCGAGCCGGCAACGGCGCGAUCACCUCCUGUUGGCAACCCCCGGGUUUCCCAACGCACUACCGUGGUCCAUCUCCUCGAGAUGCGCCACGCUGAAACGUUGCCCGUCCCUCCGGGACGCGCAACGCUCGCGAGGAAAGUCCCCCCACCCGUUCGGGCGGGUGACCGGACGCAAGUCCGGAGCGGGAGACCGCUGGCUCUGGAACAGAAACGACACGUCUCGGCCCGACCGAUGAUGCGCGCGAACCCGACCGAGAGGAAGGGGAGUUGACCCGCGGAGGGAGGGCGACUCGAAGCGCCGCCGGCGCGAGAGUCGCCGACAGAUGAGCGGCGUCCGCCGCGAAUCGCGUGCGGUCGUAGAAACGUGGUUCGAAACCGCGGAUCGUGUGCGCGGUUCGGAGCGCCACCGGCGCGAGAACCGCGAACUGUGAGACGGUGCGAGCCGUCGAACGUCCCGUCACGAUCGACCGCGCGCUGACGGCCGAGGAUCGAUGGAACGGCGAAUCCUCACCGGUGCAAGUCCGCGCCGUGGUAGCCCGAACGCCCCGCGGCGCCGCCGCGGACGGCGCGGACGCUCAGCCGAAUGCCGGGCCGAACAGAAGGGGGCUUACUCCUCUCACCC